rnacentral:rRNA from 1 species
AGCGAACGCUGGCGGCAGGCCUAACACAUGCAAGUCGAACGAACCCUUCGGGGUUAGUGGCGGACGGGUGAGUAACACGUGGGAACGUGCCUUUAGGUUCGGAAUAACUCAGGGAAACUUGUGCUAAUACCGAAUGUGCCCUUCGGGGGAAAGAUUUAUCGCCUUUAGAGCGGCCCGCGUCUGAUUAGCUAGUUGGUGAGGUAAUGGCUCACCAAGGCUACGAGCAGUAGCUGGUCUGAGAGGAUGACCAGCCACAUUGGGACUGAGACACGGCCCAGACUCCUACGGGAGGCAGCAGUGGGGAAUCUUGCGCAAUGGGCGAAAGCCUGACGCAGCCAUGCCGCGUGGAUGAUGAAGGUCUUAGGAUUGUAAAAUCCUUUCACCGGUGAAGAUAAUGACUGUAGCCGGAGAAGAAGCCCCGGCUAACUUCGUGCCAGCCGCCGCAGUAACAC